rnacentral:rRNA from 1 species
AUUGAACGCUGGCGGCAUGCCUUACACAUGCAAGUCGAACGGCAGCACGGGAGCAAUCCUGGUGGCGAGUGGCGAACGGGUGAGUAAUAUAUCGGAACGUGCCCAGUCGUGGGGGAUAACGUAGCGAAAGCUACGCUAAUACCGCAUACGAUCUACGGAUGAAAGCGGGGGAUCGCAAGACCUCGCGCGAUUGGAGCGGCCGAUAUCAGAUUAGGUAGUUGGUGAGGUAAAGGCUCACCAAGCCGACGAUCUGUAGCUGGUCUGAGAGGACGACCAGCCACACUGGGACUGAGACACGGCCCAGACUCCUACGGGAGGCAGCAGUGGGGAAUAUUGGACAAUGGGCGAAAGCCUGAUCCAGCAAUGCCGCGUGAGUGAUGAAGGCCUUCGGAUUGUAAAGCACUUUAAGUUGGGAGGAAGGGUAGUAACCUAAUACGUUGCUACUUUGACGUUACCGACAGAAUAAGCACCGGCUAACUUCGUG